rnacentral:misc_RNA from 1 species
GAUGAAGAACGCAGCGAAAUGCGAUAAGUAAUGCGAAUUGCAGAAUUCAGUGAGUCAUCGAAUCUUUGAACGCACAUUGCGCCCUGUGGUAUUCCGCAGGGCAUGCCUGUUCGAGCGUCAUUUCAACCCUCAAGCUCUGCUUGGUGUUGGGCCCUGCCCGCUGCGGCCGGCCCUAAAGACAGUGGCGGUGCCGCCUGGCCCUGAGCGUAGUACAUCUCUCGCUCCAGUGCCCGGUGGUAGCCUGCCAGAACCCCAACUCUCGUGGUUGACCUCGGAUCAGGUAGGGAUACCCGCUGAACUUAAGCAUAUCAAUAAGCCGGAGGA